rnacentral:rRNA from 1 species
GAUGAACGCUGGCGGCGUGCCUAAUACAUGCAAGUCGAGCGAAUGGAUUAAGAGCUUGCUCUUAUGAAGUUAGUGGCGGACGGGUGAGUAACACGUGGGUAACCUGCCCAUAAGACUGGGAUAACUCCGGGAAACCGGGGCUAAUACCGGAUAACAUUUUGAACCGCAUGGUUCGAAAUUGAAAGGCUGCUUCGGCUGUCACUUAUGGAUGGACCCGCUUCGCAUUAGCUAGUUGGUGAGGUAACGGCUCACCAAGGCAACGAUGCGUAGCCGACCUGAGAGGGUGAUCGGCCACCCUGGGACUGAGACACGGCCCAGACUCCUACGGGAGGCAGCAGUAGGGAAUCUUCCGCAAUGGACGAAAGUCUGACGGAGCAACGCCGCGUGAGUGAUGAAGGCUUUCGGGUCGUAAAACUCUGUUGUUAGGGAAGAACAAGUGCUAGUUGAAUAAGCUGGCACCUUGACGGUACCUAACCAGAAAGCCACGGCUAACUACGUGCCAGCCGCCGCGGUAA